rnacentral:rRNA from 1 species
UUCGAUUCUGGCUCAGGACGAACGCUGGCGGCGUGCUUCAUACAUGCAAGUCGAACGAGAAGUUACCUUCGGGUAAUGGAAAGUGGCGGACGGGUGAGUAAAAUGUAGAGAAUCUGCCCUAGAGAGAGGGACAACAGAGGGAAACUUCUGCUAAUACCUCAUAUGCGCGUAGCUGAGAUGCUAUUCGUGAAAACUCCGGUGCUCUAGGAUGAGUCUGCAUCUGAUUAGCUAGUUGGGGGUGUAAUGGACCACCAAGGCGACGAUCAGUAGCUGGUUUGAGAGGAUGAUCAGCCACAAUGGGACUGAGACACGGCCCAUACUCCUACGGGAGGCAGCAGUAGGGAAUUUUGCGCAAUGGGGGAAACCCUGACGCAGCAACGCCGCGUGAACGAAUAAGCUCUUCGGGGUGUAAAGUUCUGUCAGUGGGGACGAAACUUGACGGUACCCACAGAGGAAGCAUCGGCUAACUCCGUGCCAGCAGCAGC